GAUCAACGCUGGCGGCGCACAUAAGACAUGCAAGUUGAACGGACUUAAUCGAAAUAUUUCUAUUUUGAAGCGGUUAGUGGCGGACUGGUGAGUAACGCGUAAGGAACCUGCCUAUUAGAGGGGAAUAACAGUGAGAAAUCAUUGCUAAUACCGCAUAUGCCAUAGAUAUCACAUGAUAACAGUGGGAAUGGAGCAAUCCGCUAAUAGAUGGCCUUGCGUCUGAUUAGAUAGUUGGUGGGGUAACGGCCUACCAAGUCGACGAUCAGUAGCAGGACUGAGAGGUUGAGCGGCAGCAUUGGGAGUGAGAUACGGCCCAGAAUCCUACGGGAGGGAGCAGUAGGGAAUAGUGCGCAAUGGAGGAGACUCUAGCGGAGUGACGCAGCGUAUAGGAAGAAGGUUUGCGGAUUAUAAACUAUUGUCGUUAGGGAAGAGAAAGGACAGUACCUAAGGAGGAAGCACCGGCUAACUACGUG
rnacentral:rRNA from 1 species